rnacentral:rRNA from 1 species
UACGGAGGGGGGCAAGCGUUGUCCGGAUUUAUUGGGCGUAAAGAGCGUGUAGGCGGUUUGGUAGGUCCGCUGUGAAAACUCGAGGCUCAACCUCGAGACGCCGGUGGAAACCAUCAGACUAGAGUCCGGAAGAGGAGAGUGGAAUUCCUGGUGUAGCGGUGAAAUGCGCAGAUAUCAGGAAGAACACCCGUGGCUAAGGCGGCUCUCUAGUACGGUACUGACGCUGAGACGCGAAAGCGUGGGGAGCGAACAGG